CCUACGGGGGGCAGCAGUAGGGAAUAUUGCUCAAUGGGGGAAACCCUGAAGCAGCAACGCCGCGUGGAGGAUGAAGGAUUUCGGAAUGUAAACUCCUUUUGGAAGAGAAGAAUAUGACGGUAUCUUACGAAUAAGCACCGGCUAACUCCGUGCCAGCAGCCGCGGUAAUACGGAGGGUGCAAGCGUUAUUCGGAUUCACUGGGCGUAAAGAGCGCGUAGACGGGCGGGCAAGUCUGAUGUGAAAUCCUGUAGCUUAACUACAGAACUGCAUUUGAAACUG
rnacentral:rRNA from 1 species